rnacentral:miRNA from 1 species
UACCUGCUAGUACGAGAUUGUU